rnacentral:rRNA from 1 species
CGCAUCUGUGCAUGCAGUAUAUCAAUAAGCGGAGGAAAAGAAACUAACAAGGAUUCCCCUAGUAACGGCGAGUGAAGCGGGAAGAGCUCAAAUUUGAAAUCUUAAAGGGUUUCCCUUUACGAAUUGUAGUUUAAAGAAGUGUUUUCUGUUGAGGUUUUGGUAAAAGUUCUUUGGAAUAGGACAUCAUAGAGGGUGAGAAUCCCGUAUUUGACCUUUACUUUCAACUUUGUGAUACACUUUCAAAGAGUCGGAUUGUUUGGGAAUGCAGUCCAAAAUGGGUGGUAAAUUUCAUCUAAAGCUAAAUAUUGGCGAGAGACCGAUAGCGAACAAGUACCGUGAGGGAAAGAUGAAAAGAACUUUGAAAAGAGAGUUAAACAGUACGUGAAAUUGUCAAAAGGGAAGCGUUUGACACCAGUGUUGUUUUUCUGAAAAUCAAUUAAAGAACUGUUUAUGCUAAGCUGUUUAGACUUUAUCAGCUAACUGUUUAGUUUUGAGCUUUUCUUUAAUGCACUUUUCAGUUAACAAGUCAACAUCAAUUUCUUUUGCUGUAAAAAAGCUUGAGGAAGGUGGCUUGAGAUUCGUCUUAAGUGUUUAUAGCCUCUUGCCUAUGCAGUCGGAGAGAUUGAGGUCUGCAGCGUAGAUCCUUCGGGGCUAAAUGCAUUUGUGCUAAGUUAUAGCAUUUUAUAGACAACUUGUUGACUAUGAUUUGUCUUGUAGCUUACUCGCUUAUGUUAUUUUACCUACGCUUAGGAUGUUGAGUCGUAGAGCACGCAG